AAAAGUGCUUAUAGUGCAGGUAGUCCAGUGAUCUCUACUGCAGUGUUAGCACUUCAGU
rnacentral:pre_miRNA from 1 species